rnacentral:rRNA from 1 species
UUUUAUUUGAGAGUUUGAUCCUGGCUCAGGAUGAACGCUGGCGGCGUGCCUAACACAUGCACGUUGAGCGAUUUACUUCGGUAAAGAGCGGCGGACGGGUGAGUAACGCGUGGGUAACCUACCCUGUACACACGGAUAACAUACCGAAAGGUAUGCUAAUACGGGAUAAUAUAUUUGAGAGGCAUCUCUUGAAUAUCAAAGGUGAGCCAGUACAGGAUGGACCCGCGUCUGAUUAGCUAGUUGGUAAGGUAACGGCUUACCAAGGCGACGAUCAGUAGCCGACCUGAGAGGGUGA